rnacentral:rRNA from 1 species
UACGGAGGGUGCGAGCGUUGUCCGGAAUCAUUGGGCGUAAAGAGCGUGUAGGCGGCUUGGUAAGUCCGCUGUGAAAGUCCAGGGCUCAACCCUGGAAUGCCGGUGGAAACUGUCAAGCUUGAGUCCGGAAGAGGCGAGUGGAAUUCCUGGUGUAGCGGUGAAAUGCGCAGAUAUCAGGAGGAACACCAAUGGCGAAGGCAGCUCGCUGGGACGGUACUGACGCUGAGACGCGAAAGCGUGGGGAGCAAACAGG